UACGGGGGGGGCAAGCGUUGUUCGGAGUUACUGGGCGUAAAGGGCUCGUAGGUGGCCAACUAAGUCAUACGUGAAAUCCCUCGGCUUAACCGGGGAACUGCAUCUGAUACUGGAUGGCUUGAGUUCGGGAGAGGGAUGCGGAAUUCCAGGUGUAGCGGUGAAAUGCGUAGAUAUCUGGAGGAACACCGGUGGCGAAGGCGGCAUCCUGGACCGACACUGACGCUGAGGAGCGAAAGCCAGGGGAGCAAACGGG
rnacentral:rRNA from 1 species